AAAUGGUGAUUUCACAGAUUUGAAGAGUGAACAGGUGUAGAAAUGAAACAAAAUUUUUUUUGGCAUUUGCAGCACCUUGUAUAGUCUUCUGCAAACCAUCAGGAGGCUGCAUCUCUUCCUUCUUUGAACCUACACUGAAAUUUUUAUUCCCUUCGUGGCAUCAAGACACUCUACUUGUUCAAUCACUAUACUAGGAAAAGUUCAGUUCUAGUAAUAGCUACACAGCAGGAUGUCAUUUGGAAAUUUAAUGUGCUACAAUCCAGUGAUGCCACCAGUGUUGUUACUGAGGUCUGCAGUGUUGUGUUUCUCUGCUUUUUCAGUGAUUCUCUCCUUCCUUCCCCAUUACUCUUAAGAACAAGAGGUUUUAGUCCUUGUGUCCAAAGUUAACUCUUCCACUGCUUCCUCUGGGAUAGAAGUCCUUUAAAAAUAAAUCCUUUACCUUAAAAAAUGUAUAGGUUUUCCCACCUUGAAAAACUCACAAAUAACUUUAUCCUACUGUGUCAAUGAUUUUUUUCUAUAAUGUACAAAGAUAAAAUUAUCAUUUCUAGACUAUAAACUCCUUAAGAGCAGGGACUGACAGUGGUUAUCUUUUAUAAUAGCCAGUACAGUGCCAACAAUGAAGAGAAUGUACAAUAAAUGUUGAGUGAUUUCUCAAAUUAAAUUAUUAGCUUACAAAUUCAAUAAAAAUUUUAGGAGUCAUGAGUCCUCUUGUCCUAUUAUUACCCCGUGAGGAAAAACAGGUUUGAUUUGGAUUUACCCCAGUCUAUUUACAUAUAUAUAAUAACAUCUGAUUAUAAUAGCUAUCAGCAAUGUGUUCUUCCUACAAAAGACAUCAGCACAAUUUUGAUCCUAAGGCAAGCUCUUUAAGAUGCCAAAGUAAAAAUACCAAAACAUACUUCAUUCUUAUGAGGAGAGGGGAGGUAGUCUAGAGGGAGAGACAAAAGCACCAUGGCCAACAACUAAGCAACGA